UCGAACGGUAACGUGGGGAGGAGCUUGCUCCGCCCCGACGACGAGUGGCGAACGGGUGAGUAAUACAUCGGAACGUGUCCGCUCGUGGGGGACAACCAGCCGAAAGGUUGGCUAAUACCGCAUGAGUUCUACGGAAGAAAGAGGGGGACCCGCAAGGGCCUCUCGCGAGCGGAGCGGCCGAUGACUGAUUAGCCAGUUGGUGAGGUAACGGCUCACCAAAGCAACGAUCAGUAGCUGGUCUGAGAGGACGACCAGCCACACUGGGACUGAGACACGGCCCAGACUCCUACGGGAGGCAGCAGUGGGGAAUUUUGGACAAUGGGCGCAAGCCUGAUCCAGCUAUUCCGCGUGUGGGAUGAAGGCCCUCGGGUUGUAAACCACUUUUGUAGAGAACGAAAAGACACCAUCGAAUAAAUGGUGUUGCUGACGGUACUCUAAGAAUAAGCACCGGCUAACUACGUGCCAGCAGCCGCGGUAAUACGUAGGGUGCGAGCGUUAAUCGGAAUUACUGGGCGUAAAGGGUGCGCAGGCGGUUGAGUAAGACAGAUGUGAAAUCCCCGAGCUUAACUCGGGAAUGGCAUAUGUGACUGCUCGACUAGAGUGUGUCAGAGGGAGGUGGAAUUCCACGUGUAGCAGUGAAAUGCGUAGAUAUGUGGAAGAACACCGAUGGCGAAGGC
rnacentral:rRNA from 1 species